rnacentral:rRNA from 1 species
AUUGAACGCUGGCGGCAUGCUUUACACAUGCAAGUCGAACGGCAGCGGGGAGGAGCUUGCUUCUCUGCCGGCGAGUGGCGAACGGGUGAGUAAUACAUCGGAACGUGUCGAGAAGAGGGGGAUAACCACCCGAAAGGGUGGCUAAUACCGCAUAAAUUCUGAGGAAGAAAGCUGGGGACCUGGGAAUAGGCCUAGCGCUUUUUGAGCGGCCGAUGUCGGAUUAGCUAGUUGGUGAGGUAAAGGCUCACCAAGGCGAAGAUCUGUAGCGGGUCUGAGAGGAUGGUCCGCCCCACUGGGACUGAGACACGGCCCAGACCCCUACGGGAGGCAGCGGGGGGGAAUUUUGGACAAUGGGGGCAACCCUGUUCCAGCCAUGCCGGGUGUAUGAAGAAGGCCUUAGGGUUGUAAAGGACUUUUGUUAGGGAAAAAAAGUAAGCUGGGAAAAAUGGCUGAUACUGACGGUACCAAAAAAAUAAGCACCGGCUAACUACGU